GACCCAGCGCCGAGCCCGAGCCAUGGCGUCCGAACGGCUCCCUAGCAGGCCCGCCUGUCUGCUCGUGGCCAGCGGCGCCGCCGAAGGGGAAAGCCAUGGAAUUUGUGGAUGUGACUGAGAGCAAUGCACGCUGGGUGCAAGACUUCCGCCUCAAGGCUUACGCCAGCCCCGCCAAGCUCGAGUCCAUCGAUGGUGCCCGGUACCAUGCCCUCCUGAUCCCCAGCUGUCCUGGGGCCCUGACCGACCUGGCCAGCAGUGGCUCCCUGGCCCGUAUCCUGCAGCACUUCCACUCUGAGAGCAAACCCAUCUGCGCCGUCGGCCACGGUGUCGCCGCCCUGUGCUGUGCCACCAACGAGGACAGAUCCUGGGUGUUCCAUGGCUACAGCCUGACAGGGCCCUCUGUGUGUGAGCUCGUCAGGGCCCCCGGCUUCGCCCGCCUGCCGCUCGUGGUGGAGGACUUCGUGAAGGAUUCGGGCGCCUGCUUCAGUGCAAGCGAGCCUGACGCUGUCCACGUCGUGCUGGACCGCCACCUGGUCACGGGCCAGAAUGCCAGCUCCAC
rnacentral:sRNA from 1 species